UCUUGUUAGAAAUGGCUUCAAGAGGUAGAGUAAGGUCGAAAAAGAAUUGAAAAAAUAUAAUUAGAUAGAAGAUCAUACCACCCAACCUAUAGUCGAAAUCCCAACUACACACUCAACCUUUUAAUUAGACCUAUUACCCCCCUGAUCUAUUUUUUCCUAUAUUUAUUACCCCCCUAAAUGCUGAGCUGGCAAGGAAGGUGAGAACACCCCCUCUAGGCGCGUUGGUUUAGUCCCAACACGUACAAAAUUAAAAGUUCAGCCUUCCACGUAUAUUAUACACGGCAUUUAUUGUUUAUUUAAUGAAAUAAAUAUGGAAAAUUACUCUCUCUCUUCCAACGGUCAUCUUCUUCCUCUUUAUAUGACCCAUGUCUUUCUCCACCAUUUUUCUUCAUGUUCCAACAUUCUUUUUUUCUUUCUUUUCUCUUUCUUUAACUUACUUUUUAGCUUUUAAUCCCAAUUUGUACUUCGAUUCUUGAAUUUUGUUUUGUAAUUUGGUUCAACUAUUAAUUUAGGGUUUUAUUUUGAUGAACGAUUUUGUUGGAAUUCAUGAAAUGAUAAAUUUGAAAUUGAAUAAGCUUUGUAUGGAUGAAUCAGAUCCAAUGGUCAAUGUUUUGUGAGAUACAAACAUGGUAUUUUGGUUGACUUGCAAACUUCAUGGUCGAAGUCAAAUUCGGGAAGAAGAUUUUGGUCUUGCCCCUACUAUGGGACAAAGAAAAAGUGGAUCCAAGAUCAAAUUUUAUCAUUUCAAGAUUGGUGAACAAAAUCAAUGAGUUGGAAGAAGACUUAUGUCUUAAAGAUGCCCAAAUUGAUAACUUAAUGCGGGAGAAGAAGCUCAAUGAAAGAUGGAGACGGUGUAGGUUGGAUAGAAAGAUAUUUUUAUGUAUUUUGAUUUGUGUUGCUACUAUGUUCAUCAAUAACAAAUGGACUGAAAGUAGUUGCUAGAUAUGAUCGACGAUGGUGUAAAAUUUUUACACCUCUCUAAAUAUAUCAGACUAUGUUCUAUUA